UCAACCAGUGUGUCUGAAGAUGUGAACCUCCACGCAGAGAGAACGCAUCAUGUUAGAAAAGUGUCUUUAGAAUAAUGUUCUUACAAAUUUAACAUAUUGUUCCAAACACUUAUAGCUUAUUUCAACAGAAGCAUCUAAUCCACCAAAGGUUUCCAUGGUUUCCAUCACUGCUGCCGUCCUCCAUGAAGCACAAGAGACAAGACUACAGGUCUACAAGGCUGUGGCUCGGUGCCUGGGCUCUGGAUGGGACGGGACGUCGGCUAAAUGAUCCGCCAGCUGCUGCGAAGGCUGGAAAUGACUCACUGCUGCUGGAUGGGAAACAAAUGCUGCAGCUCUGAGAGCAAAGCAGCAGCAGCAGCUUGGUGUGUGGAGGGUCUGAUCACUGGGAAAACCAUCCAGGAAGAUCCUGCCUCCUGUCAUGGCUCCAGUUUCACUCAGGUGGGACUUAACUUACAUUAUCAGCGAUUCAGGCAAAAAUUGAAAUUUUUUCCAAGAAAUCAAGCUUGUUUUACUUCCUGUUAUUCUGAGUCCUAAUCUGUGAUUUGUUACAAACUGUGAACGUUGUGUUAACUUGUGUUUAUCAUUUCAUAACAAGUUAAAACUUUCAACCUUGUGGUUGGGAAACGACUGCUCUACCCACUGCUGCACUGUCGCCCCCAAAUUACACCCAAUUACAAUUAAUUACAAUAUCAGGUAUCAGGUAUCAGACGAGUGAGAGGGUCUUCCUUCUAAAGCAGUAACAACCAUGAUGAAGCAAGGUGCGUGUCUGACUUCCUGUACCAUCCAUGUUUAGGCCCAUUCAAACUGAAGAACAAUGAUCCUGUACUGUAACUAUUGUCACAGUGUUGAUCAGACAAGCAGACAAAUUAAAGAGUCCCGGUUUGUAAACCAGCACACAGCUGUGAGCUCCUUUACUUUUCUGUAAAUUAAUAGAAGCAACUAUCUGACGUGUCCAUCCAUCCAUUAUCUACACCGUUUAUUCCUGAACAGGGUUGCAGGGCUGGAGCCAAUCCCAGCUGACGCUGGGCGAGAGGCGGGGUCCACCCUGGUCAGGUCACUAGUCUGUUGCAGGGCUGACACGUGUGAUAAUGUGGAAUAAUUCACUGCUUUAACUCAGAUGCGAUGGGAUAAGAAUAAUGGGACUGUACCUCCAUUAUCCAGCUGAUGGCUGGAGGUCAGGGAGCCCUCGCUUGGCUGUUUUUUACUCAUUUUCUGCCUUGGUCCAGCUGUUGCUGCCUCUGAUUGCGACUGAGCUCUGUGUGAAGACAAAGGGGUGAUUAAAGCGGAACCAGUGACAUUUCCCUUUAAAUGGACCCUCUGCUCCUCCUCCAGCCCACCACUGAUCCAGACAUUGCAUCUUUUCCACCUCACCAUUUGAAAACAGUUACUGUCCUGCCAACAUUCUGCUCAGAAAUGCAUAAAUUAUAUAAACUCACUGUGUCUUAAUUUGCUUUUACAGACAGACUACUUGGAUUAGCUGGUUUAGAACCACAGCGAUUAGUCAAUUAAUCAUCAGAUACUGGGAAAAAAUAGCUGACAACUGAUUUCUAUUUGGAUCAUUUCUUUAGCCAAUGAAGA